rnacentral:rRNA from 1 species
GACGAACGCUGGCGGCGUGCCUAAUACAUGCAAGUUGAGCGAUGAAGCUUGGUGCUUGCACCAAUUUGAAGAGCAGCGAACGGGUGAGUAACGCGUGGGGAAUCUGCCUUUGAGCGGGGGACAACAUUUGGAAACGAAUGCUAAUACCGCAUAACAACUUUAAACAUAAGUUUUAAGUUUGAAAGAUGCAAUUGCAUCACUCAAAGAUGAUCCCGCGUUGUAUUAGCUAGUUGGUGAGGUAAAGGCUCACCAAGGCGAUGAUACAUAGCCGACCUGAGAGGGUGAUCGGCCACAUUGGGACUGAGACACGGCCCAAACUCCUACGGGAGGCAGCAGUAGGGAAUCUUCGGCAAUGGACGAAAGUCUGACCGAGCAACGCCGUGUGAGUGAAGAAGGUUUUCGGAUCGUAAAACUCUGUUGGUAGAGAAGAACGUUGGUGAGAGUGGAAAGCUCAUCAAGUGACGGUAACUACCCAGAAAGGGACGGCUAACUACGUG